GAUGAACGCUAGCUACAGGCUUAACACAUGCAAGUCGAGGGACCGGCGCACGGGUGAUUAACACGUAUCCAACCUGCCUUUAACUCGGGGAUAGCCUUUCGAACAAAAGAUUAAUACCCGGUAAAAAGGAUGGGGAUGCUUUCCAUUAGGUUGUUGGUGAGGUAACGGCUCACAAAGCCUUCGAUGGAUAGGGGUUCUGAGAGGAAGGUCCCCCACAUUGGAAUUGAGACACGGUCCAAACUCCUACGGGAGGCAGCAGUGAGGAAUAUUGGUCAAUGGGCGCUAGCCUGAACCAGCCAAGUAGCGUGAAGGAUGAAGGCUUAUGGGUCAUAAACUUCUUUUAUAUAAGAAUAUGUAUUAUAUGAAUAAGGAUCGACUAACUCCGUGCCAGCAGACGCGGUAAUUC
rnacentral:rRNA from 1 species